rnacentral:rRNA from 3 species
ACGGUGGAUGCCCUGGCAGUCAGAGGCGAUGAAGGGCGUGCUAAUCUGCGAUAAGCGCCGGUAAGGUGAUAUGAACCGUUAUAACCGGCGAUACCCGAAUGGGGAAACCCAGUGUGACUCGUCACACUAUCAUUAACUGAAUCCAUAGGUUAAUGAGGCGAACCGGGGGAACUGAAACAUCUAAGUACCCCGAGGAAAAGAAAUCAACCGAGAUUCCCCCAGUAGCGGCGAGCGAACGGGGAGGAGCCCAGAGCCUGAAUCAGCAUGUGUGUUAGUGGAAGCGUCUGGAAAGGCGCGCGAUACAGGGUGACAGCCCCGUACACAAAAGCGCAUGUGCUGUGAGCUCGAUGAGUAGGGCGGGACACGUGGUAUCCUGUCUGAAUAUGGGGGGACCAUCCUCCAAGGCUAAAUACUCCUGACUGACCGAUAGUGAACCAGUACCGUGAGGGAAAGGCGAAAAGAACCCCGGCGAGGGGAGUGAAAAAGAACCUGAAACCGUGUACGUACAAGCAGUGGGAGCACCCUUUGGGUGUGACUGCGUACCUUUUGUAUAAUGGGUCAGCGACUUAUAUUCUGUAGCAAGGUUAACCGAAUAGGGGAGCCGGAGGGAAACCGAGUCUUAAUUGGGCGUUAAGUUGCAGGGUAUAGACCCGAAACCCGGUGAUCUAGCCAUGGGCAGGUUGAAGGUUGGGUAACACUAACUGGAGGACCGAACCGACUAAUGUUGAAAAAUUAGCGGAUGACCUGUGGCUGGGGGUGAAAGGCCAAUCAAACCGGGAGAUAGCUGGUUCUCCCCGAAAGCUAUUUAGGUAGCGCCUCGUGAAUUCAUCUCCGGGGGUAGAGCACUGUUUCGGCUAGGGGGCCAUCCCGGCUUACCAACCCGAUGCAAACUGCGAAUACCGGAGAAUGUUAUCACGGGAGACACACGGCGGGUGCUAACGUCCGUCGUGAAGAGGGAAACAACCCAGACCGCCAGCUAAGGUCCCAAAGUCAUGGUUAAGUGGGAAACGAUGUGGGAAGGCCCAGACAGCCAGGAUGUUGGCUUAGAAGCAGCCAUCAUUUAAAGAAAGCGUAAUAGCUCACUGGUCGAGUCGGCCUGCGCGGAAGAUGUAACGGGGCUAAACCAUGCACCGAAGCUGCGGCAGCGACGCUUAUGCGUUGUUGGGUAGGGGAGCGUUCUGUAAGCCUGCGAAGGUGGCCUGUGAGGGUUGCUGGAGGUAUCAGAAGUGCGAAUGCUGACAUAAGUAACGAUAAAGCGGGUGAAAAGCCCGCUCGCCGGAAGACCAAGGGUUCCUGUCCAACGUUAAUCGGGGCAGGGUGAGUCGACCCCUAAGGCGAGGCCGAAAGGCGUAGUCGAUGGGAAACGGGUUAAUAUUCCCGUACUUGGUGUUACUGCGAAGGGGGGACGGAGAAGGCUAUGUUGGCCGGGCGACGGUUGUCCCGGUUUAAGCGUGUAGGCUGGUUUUCCAGGCAAAUCCGGAAAAUCAAGGCUGAGGCGUGAUGACGAGGCACUACGGUGCUGAAGCAACAAAUGCCCUGCUUCCAGGAAAAGCCUCUAAGCAUCAGGUAACAUCAAAUCGUACCCCAAACCGACACAGGUGGUCAGGUAGAGAAUACCAAGGCGCUUGAGAGAACUCGGGUGAAGGAACUAGGCAAAAUGGUGCCGUAACUUCGGGAGAAGGCACGCUGACACGUAGGUGAAGUGAUUUACUCACGGAGCUGAAGUCAGUCGAAGAUACCAGCUGGCUGCAACUGUUUAUUAAAAACACAGCACUGUGCAAACACGAAAGUGGACGUAUACGGUGUGACGCCUGCCCGGUGCCGGAAGGUUAAUUGAUGGGGUCAGCGCAAGCGAAGCUCCUGAUCGAAGCCCCGGUAAACGGCGGCCGUAACUAUAACGGUCCUAAGGUAGCGAAAUUCCUUGUCGGGUAAGUUCCGACCUGCACGAAUGGCGUAAUGAUGGCCAGGCUGUCUCCACCCGAGACUCAGUGAAAUUGAACUCGCUGUGAAGAUGCAGUGUACCCGCGGCAAGACGGAAAGACCCCGUGAACCUUUACUAUAGCUUGACACUGAACAUUGAGCCUUGAUGUGUAGGAUAGGUGGGAGGCUUUGAAGUGUGGACGCCAGUCUGCAUGGAGCCGACCUUGAAAUACCACCCUUUAAUGUUUGAUGUUCUAACGUGGACCCGUUACCCGGGUUGCGGACAGUGUCUGGUGGGUAGUUUGACUGGGGCGGUCUCCUCCUAAAGAGUAACGGAGGAGCACGAAGGUUGGCUAAUCCUGGUCGGACAUCAGGAGGUUAGUGCAAUGGCAUAAGCCAGCUUGACUGCGAGCGUGACGGCGCGAGCAGGUGCGAAAGCAGGUCAUAGUGAUCCGGUGGUUCUGAAUGGAAGGGCCAUCGCUCAACGGAUAAAAGGUACUCCGGGGAUAACAGGCUGAUACCGCCCAAGAGUUCAUAUCGACGGCGGUGUUUGGCACCUCGAUGUCGGCUCAUCACAUCCUGGGGCUGAAGUAGGUCCCAAGGGUAUGGCUGUUCGCCAUUUAAAGUGGUACGCGAGCUGGGUUUAGAACGUCGUGAGACAGUUCGGUCCCUAUCUGCCGUGGGCGCUGGAGAACUGAGGGGGGCUGCUCCUAGUACGAGAGGACCGGAGUGGACGCAUCACUGGUGUUCGGGUUGUCAUGCCAAUGGCACUGCCCGGUAGCUAAAUGCGGAAGAGAUAAGUGCUGAAAGCAUCUAAGCACGAAACUUGCCCCGAG